GAAUAUAGUUAUUACAUGCAUAUAAAGCUCAUAAAGUAAUCUACAUUUGAAGCAUUGGAAACAAUUAUAAAUUUCAUCAAGUUCAUGCCUUUUUGUUCAUUAAACGAUAACAAAAAUGGAAAAUGAGCAACGCAUAGCAUCACUGAAGGAAAAUAGUCAUUCAAAGAGCUGUACAUAGCAUAAAAUAAACAAAAAACAAUUUCAAUUCUUUUAAAAAUUGAUGAAUUUUCUCAGCAAUAAGGGCAUCUGUCAAUCGAAUAACCACAUCAACAACAUGCAACAAUGUAAGAGUGCAUGAAAUCAGAUGGAUAUCAAGGAUCUCAUGAAUCUAAUUUCCUGCUGCUUAAAUUCUCAUGUAGAGAUUGUGUGAGAUGCUUGCCUCGUUAUCCUUGCCUGCAAACUCUCUAUAAAAGCCAGAUUAGCUUGAAGUCUUUCCUUGACGUAUAAGGCUCGAGCAUCCACUGCCAACUUGUUGGCUUUCCCAGCUUCGUUUGUCCGUUAACUUUUUGUUAUGUUCAAAUAAGCCAAUUUUUAUCUUUCUUUUUUUUUAAUAAAUCCUCACCCGACUGUAGAUCUAUGCCGUCUCCUUCCCUUCAUUUUCUUCUUCUUCUUUGGUCGUCUUCUUCUUCUUCUUCGCGAGUUGGGUUGAAUGGUUGAGGCCAUCGCCGCCUCUCCAACAGUGGCCAAACACCCAGCAACACCUCAAUCGCACCACCUCAACUGCCACCCCCGCUGAAUGCGACCUCAUCUCCAGACUACCCAAGUUUGUCACCUAAGCAUUGACCCCUCAACUAGUGGGUCAUCCAAGUCCUUUUUGUUGUCUGGCACCAUAGCCUUGUCAAAUUGUAGGGGGCCCUCGGCUUCCAUUUUCUCUCUAUUCCAUGACCAUCUCAUCCUCAAAUUGCUUGAACGGUUAUAGGCUUCUUCAGGUUCAACAUCAACUCUUUCACACAUAUCCCCCAGCGCAUUGAACCUCUGUUCCACUUUUUCCUUGAUGCCGUCUGGAAGGAGCUUAUACCAGCUAAGUAUAUCCUCUAGAAUUUCCUCACAUUCCCUUGUGUCCUUCAAAAAACCUUGUUCCAUUGCCUCCUUAAUCAUCUCAUCCCAUUUAUUGUCAUCCAUGUUGAAGUACUCAUCCUUCAGGAUUUUCUUCAUGACAUUCCUUGGCGCUGUACAAAUCAUCAAUCUCCUCAUCAGUCUGAUACAGCUCCUUAAACUCUGAUUCAAAUUUUUUAUCCUUCACAUCAUCCAGUGGCUUCAUAUGGAGUUCUUCCAUCAAAUCAUCAUCUGUCUCCUCGUGCUUCCUUGACAACCUCCAGUGUAAAGAUUGCUUCCAUAAUUGAAGGGAGCACCUCCUCAUCCCCCUUGAAGUACUUAUCCAUUAGAUCUUUCAGCUCUCACACCGGAAAACCAACCAAAUAACUUACACAUAGUACAAACUAAAUAAAAAAAUUAUUACAAAUAAAUAAAAAUAUACAGAAUAUUCUUGUUUUAUCAAAAACAAAUGACAACCAUGUUCAAAAAUUAUUUUGUCCUCUGCCAAUGCUAGCUUAAUUAUCACCAUAAACUGUAACAAAAUAGAUUUUACCAAAACCAUGCGAUAAAAAUUGCAGAUUCAAAUGCAGAUCAUUCAGAAGCAAAGCCCCAUGAAUAAAAUUAAUUAAUUCACAAAUGUGUGAAAAUUUUCCCACAUUAAGCAAACAUAAUACAAUUUCCCUCUAAAUCCCAGCUCCCAUGAUCCGUUGUAGCAUCAUUUCACAUUAACUAGCAAAUACACAAACACAAAGUAUCCCAUUUGUUUUCUGAGAAAACGAGCAAUAAAAUAAAACAGGUUAACUUUUCAAUCAAAAUUUCAAUUUUCACUAAUUUUAAAUGACCAAGAACGUCUCUUACUUAAGUUCCCAACUGCCUAAAACUACAAAACACUAAAGUAAAAAACUUCCCUUAUUUUCCGAUAAGUUCAUAUAUUUUUCUUAGCGAGCAAACACAUAAUUACCAUACAGAAGGAAAAAGAAAAUACGUCCAUUAAUUUGUUUACCUUUGUUAGUGACAUCCUCAACCUCGACAGAAGCAUCCUUCUCUUUGAGUUGUGCAAGCAAGCGAUGAUUCAGGGGAUGAUGUGAUCGGGUUGUCACCGAACGAGUAAAGCCGGAUAGAGGACUGAGUAGAAUUGGGUAGCGAGGGAUUUUGGGAUUUUGGGAAGGACAUUGGAAGGAAAGCGAAGAAGGUUUCCAGUGCAAACAGAGACAUUUCCUACUGCUGCGCAGAGGACGUCUCAUAAUCACGGGUC
rnacentral:misc_RNA from 1 species